rnacentral:rRNA from 1 species
UUUGAUCCUGGCUCAGAUUGAACGCUGGCGGCAGGCUUAACACAUGCAAGUCGAGCGGAGUGAUGGUGCUUGCACUAUCACUUAGCGGCGGACGGGUGAGUAAUGCUUAGGAAUCUGCCUAUUAGUGGGGGACAACAUUUCGAAAGGAAUGCUAAUACCGCAUACGUCCUACGGGAGAAAGCAGGGGAUCUUCGGACCUUGCGCCAUUAGAUGAGCCUAGGUCGGAUUAGCUAGUUGGUGAGGUAAAGGCUCACCAAGGCGACGAUCCGUAACUGGUCUGAGAGGAUGAUCAGUCACACUGGAACUGAGACACGGUCCAGACUCCUACGGGAGGCAGCAGUGGGGAAUAUUGGACAAUGGGCGAAAGCCUGAUCCAGCCAUGCCGCGUGUGUGAAGAAGGUCUUCGGAUUGUAAAGCACUUUAAGUUGGGAGGAAGGGUAGUAACUUAAUACGUUGCUACUUUGACGUUACCGACAGAAUAAGCACCGGCUAACUUCGUGCCAGCAGCCGCGGUAAUACGAAGGGUGCAAGCGUUAAUCGGAAUUACUGGGCGUAAAGCGCGCGUAGGUGGUUCAGUAAGUUGGAUGUGAAAUCCCCGGGCUCAACCUGGGAACUGCAUCCAAAACUGCUGAGCUAGAGUACGGUAGAGGGUGGUGGAAUUUCCUGUGUAGCGGUGAAAUGCGUAGAUAUAGGAAGGAACACCAGUGGCGAAGGCGACCACCUGGGACUGAUACUGACACUGAGGUGCGAAAGCGUGG